AAACAAAUAAUGGCGACCUCCAUGAAAAUAUUUUUUCUACACAAAUUGUGUUUAAAAAAGGGACAGAGACUUCAACAUUGAGAAAUAAAAUGGAUACAUAGUGCCUCAAAACUUCAUUUAAAUCUAUAGAAUAUGUAUUCUGUAUAUAAACAGACGCACCCACCAACAGGCAUAGAACAUUGUGUCUACUGUAAUUUCUUCAACACAUCGGAGAGAAACUUAGUUAUAGCUGCUGUCAAUCAACUUCAUGUUUAUAGACUUAACCCAGAUACUGAGGAUGAUACUGGAAAGAAUGUUUCAGAACAAAAUCAGGAGACAAGAAAAAAACAGAAACUGGAAUGCUUGGCUACUUUCAGUUUGUUUGGUAACAUUAUGUCUCUACAGUUUGUCAAGUUACCAGGAGCAAACAGGGAUGCACUUCUACUAAGUUUUUCUGACGCAAAGUUAUCAGUAGUGGAGUAUGACCCUAGUACACAUGAUCUACAAACAACAUCACUACAUUAUUUUGAGGAACCUGCUCUGAAGGAUGGAUUUGCAGUCACUUACAGCAUUCCUGAAAUCCGAGUAGAUCCCGACGGACGAUGUGCAGCAAUGUUAAUUUAUGGAACAAGACUUGUUAUUCUGCCAUUCCGUCGAGAUGCUGUCAUAGAGGACUCGGAUAUCUCUGGAGGAGGGAAAUCACCUAUUAUGUCAUCAUAUAUCAUAGAUCUCAAAAGUUUUGAUGAAAAGAUCACCAAUGUUAAAGAUUUUCAGUUUCUGCAUGGUUAUUAUGAACCAACUGUAUUUAUGUUAUACGAACCUUUCCAGACUUGGGCUGGGAGGACAGCAGUGAGAGCAGACACGUGCUGUAUUGCUGCUAUUUCUCUGAAUAUUCAGGAGCGAGUCAAUCCUGUUAUCUGGUCUAUGAACAAUCUGCCAUUUGAUUGUUGUAAAGUAAUGGCAGUACCUAAACCUAUUGGUGGUGUUAUGGUAGUGGCAGUUAAUUCAUUGUUAUAUCUAAAUCAGAGUGUGCCACCUUAUGGUGUAGCCCUCAACAGUAUCGCAUCAUCCAGUACAUUGUUUCCAUUGAGAACACAAGAAGGCAUCAGAAUAGCCUUAGAUUGUUCACAGGCAGCUUUUAUGACCAAUGAUAGACUAGUUCUAUCUCUCAAAGGAGGAGAGCUAUAUGUCCUUACAUUAGUGGUUGAUGGCAUGAGAAGUGUUAGAAGUUUCCACUUUGACAAAUCAGCAGCUAGCGUCCUUACUACAUGUAUGUGUAUAUGUGAGGAAGGGUUUUUAUUCCUUGGAUCAAGACUUGGCAAUUCUCUAUUGCUCAAAUAUACAGAGAAGGCCCAGGAUCAGAUAGAAUUAAGAGAAGAACCAAAAAAGGAAGAACCACCAACUAAGAAAAAGAAAGUAACAGAAUCGGAAGUCGCAUCAGAUGUAUCACAGAUUGAAAACUUAUACGAGUUAGAAGUUUAUGGUAGUGCUGAAAACCCAAAAGGAACAACUAUUGCAAGUUACUCUUUUGAGGUAUGUGAUAACAUUUGGAACAUAGCACCUUGUGCCAAUAUUGUGAUGGGGGAACCAGCUUUCCUGUCAGAAGAAUUCAGUGGAACAGAUAAUCCAGAUAUAGAACUGGUUACAACGUCAGGCUACAGCAAGAAUGGUGCCCUGUCCGUCCUACAGAGAACAAUCAGACCACAGAUAGUCACGACCUUUGAACUUCCUGGUUGUAUAGACAUGUGGACAGUCAAGGGAGAAUUACCUGAGGAAGAAGGUGGAAGUAGGACGAGUAUUGAAGGUGACACAACAAACACAGAACAAGAAGACAAAGAUUCUGUCAAAGAUGGUCAUGCCUUCUUAAUCCUCAGUCGUGAAGACUCAAGUAUGAUUUUACAGACUGGUCAAGAGAUUAUGGAAUUAGAUCACAGUGGGUUUAGUACACAGACAGCUACAAUCUUUGCUGGAAACAUUGGUGACAAUAAAUAUAUCAUACAAGUGUCUCCAUCUGGUGUUAGACUGUUAGAGGGAGUGAAACAGCUGCAGUACCUGACUGUAGAACAGACAUCAACUAUUUGUCACUGCAGUGUAUCUGACCCUUAUGCACUGUUAAUGACAGAGGCAGGCAUGAUUUUCUUACUGACCUUAAAACAAGACGCAGUUAGUGGAAACAGUCGUCUCUCCAUGACCAAGCCCUUACUUCCUCAGCACUCAAAGAUUUUAACAUUGUGUACUUACAAAGAUAAAAGUGGUUUAUUUAGAACCAAACCUGUCAACGAAAACGAGGUGCCAGCACCUGUUGAGACGAAACCUAAUCGAAGUUCCAUUGAAAAGGUCUAUAAUAUGGAUUCUAGCAAUGUAGAUGAUGAAGAUGAAUUAUUGUAUGGUGAUACAGAUACAUCUGUUUUCUCCUCAUCGAUGGAUACCUCACAGACAGAAAUCAAAAGUCCAACAAAGUCUUCUCGUCUUCAGAAUGAUAUAAAACCAACAUAUUGGGCCUUAGUUUGUAGAGAAAAUGGAGUUUUAGAGAUUUACAGUAUGCCAGACUUUAAGUUAUCUUAUUAUGUUAAAAAUUUCCCUAUGGGCCAGAAGAUUCUGGUAGAUAGUGUGCAGGUUAAAGACAAACUGAGUACUGGGUCAUCAUCAUUUGCAGAUAGAAGUGAUAAAUUACUUGGAGAGAUGCCAGUAUUGAAAGAAAUUUUAAUGGUUGGUUUAGGUUAUCGUAAAACAAGACCUUAUUUAAUGGCAAGAAUUGAGGAUGACUUUUAUAUGUAUGAAGCAUUUCCAUACUUCCAAGCUUCAAUAGAUAACCAUCUAAAAUUACGAUUUAAAAAAGUGCAGCACAAUUUGAUUAUGAAGGACAGGAAAUCCAGGAAGAAACGUAUAGAAGAUGAAGGGCUGCCUGAUGAGACGAUAAGACAACAAAGAGUUGCUAGGCUUAGAUACUUUGAAGAUGUUGCAGGUUACAGUGGGGUAUUUGUGUGUGGACCUUACCCUCACUGGAUCUUCAUGACCACACGUGGAAGUCUACGAAUACAUCCCAUGAUUAUAGACGGCCCUAUCACAUGUUUCUCAUCAUUCCAUAAUGUCAACUGUCCUAAAGGUUUCCUGUACUUCAACAAACUGGGAGAGUUGAGAAUCACUGUUUUACCUACACAUUUGACAUAUGAUGCACCAUGGGCAGUGAGGAAAAUACCUUUGAGAUGCACCCCACAUUUUGUAGCUUACCAUCCAGACAGUAAGACAUACGCAGUUGUUACUAGUACUCCAGAAAACUGUAACAAGCUUCCAAAAACAACAACUGAAGAGCGAGACUGGGAUACAUUAGAAAAAGAUGAAAGAUUUAUCUACCCUCAGUUAAACACAUAUGCCUUACAGUUGUACAGUCCUACAUCCUGGGAAGUUGUUCCUAACACCAGUGUAGUCCUCCAGGAAUGGGAAGUUUGUACGACCAUGAAGAAUGUGUUGUUGAGGUCAGAGGAAAAUGUCCAUGGUUUCAAAUCAUUUCUAUGUAUGGGAACAACUCUAUCGCUAGGGGAAGAAAAUAUCUCUAGAGGGAGGAUUUUAAUACUUGAUGUUAUAGAAGUUGUACCAGAACCAGGAAUGCCUCUUACUAAACACAAAAUUAAGGUUCUGUAUGAUAAGGAACAGAAGGGACCAGUUACUGCUUUAGCACAGAUUCAGGGAUUUCUUCUUACAGCUAUUGGUCAAAAGCUAUAUAUCUGGCAGUUAAAGGACAACGAUCUCAUUGGUGUGGCCUUCAUCGACACAUUCACUUAUAUCAACACACUGAGUACAGUUAAAAACAUCAUCUUAGCAGGGGACAUAAUCAAAAGUAUUGCUUUAUAUAGAUAUCAGGAGGAACUCAAAGUCCUAUCACUCGUCAGCAGGGAUAUAAAGCCCUUAGAAACUUAUACAGCAGAAUAUAUGGUGGACAAUACACAGCUAUGUUUUCUAGUGUCAGACAAAAUGAAGAACAUAUUAAUGUAUGCAUAUCAUCCUGAAGCUAGAGAGAGUAUAGGAGGACAACGUCUGUUGAGGAAGGCUGAUUUUAAUGUCGGAUCACACAUCAACAGCAUGUUCAGAGUAUUGUGUCGUAGUGAUCCAGCGGUAGAUAAAAGGGCAUACAAUGCUGACAGAAAGCACAUUACAUACUUUGCUUCAUUAGAUGGAACACUUGGGUUUGUUCUACCAAUCUCAGAGAAAGUAUAUAGACGUUUACUGAUGUUACAGAAUGCUAUGACAACACAGAUACAACAUAUAGCAGGACUUAACCCAAGGACCUAUAGGUAAAGUAUAUAGACGUUUACUUAUGUUACAGAAUGCUAUGACAACACAGAUCCAACAUAUAGCAGGACUUAAUCCAAGGACCUAUAGGUAAAGUAUAUAGACGUUUACUCAUGUUACAGAAUUCUAUGACAACACAGAUACAACAUAUAGCAGGACUUAACCCAAGGACCUAUAGGUAAAGUAUAUAGAUGUUUACUGAUGUUACAGAAUGCUAUGACAACACAGAUACAACAUAUAGCAGGACUUAACCCAAGGACCUAUAGGUAAAGUAUAUAGACGUUUACUUAUGUUACAGAAUGCUAUGACAACACAGAUACAACAUAUAGCAGGACUUAAUCCAAGGACCUAUAGGGCGGUACAGAGCAUCAGACAAGAGCUAAGGAAUCCUCAAAAGAACAUUUUAGAUGGUGAUUUGUUAUGGAAGUAUUUACAUCUAAGUAUGAUGGAGAAAACUGAGAUAGCUAAACGUAUUGGAACAUCUCUUGAACAG